UCUGUUGGUGUAAAGGGCACAGAAAGUUUUGAUCUUUUAGGGGUUAGUGUAAUUCUAAUACAGAUAAAU
rnacentral:tRNA from 1 species